GCUGUAUGGCAUAAAAAAAAUAAAUAAAUAAUAGAUUACUUGUUUAAAUUUAAAAGCAAAAUGUCACUAGAAUAGAAAAGAGAAGAUAUUCUUAAAAAAUUAUUACAAUAAAUUAAUUCAUAUAUUAAACAUAAAAAAAUACGUAAGAGAAAUUCAUGUUACAAAAUUUAUCCAAUAACAAUGUAAUUAAAUGACUUGACUAGGGGACAGAGUAACUUGAUUUAGCCUCUCCUAGGCUUUGUCUGUAUAUAAAGAACGGAGACAUAGCCUAGAAUAGGUUAGGUCAGGGCUCGUUCAACAUGAUUAUCUUCAUACUACUUCUUAUAACUACUUCUUCUCAUCCAAGGUCAAGCUCAAGGUCAAUAAGCAAUGGAAAAUGUCAAAGGAAUAUUAUAGUGAAAUAAAAGUCAAAACGAAAUUUACCUUAAAUGGAUUGGGAAGCUCUCAAUUGUAACCAAUGUAAGAGAUGUCCAAGCAAUAGCAAAAACUGCUAUAAAACCACCUUCAAAACCAAGCACUGCAGAACUAUUUGUGCCCACUAAAAUUAAACAUAAAGCAGCUAUUGAGGAGAAAAAUAAUGAAAUACCAAUCAUCUUUGGCCGUUGAAACACAGUAAGUGCUAGCCCUGCUAAAGCAGCAGCAGGCACAAAGGAUAAUUGAGCAACAAGAUGACCAUGUAAUACUUCUUCUAUGUAAAUAUUAUAAUCCAAAUCGAGAGUCGGACACGGUCCUCUUAAACUUAAUUCUGUAUUAUUUUCAAGUGUGCAAUUUGUAAAAACUUGUGCAGAUAAAUCCGUAUCUACAAAUCUAGAAGAAUAGAUAAGAAUAUAUAUUUUACAUUUAAGAAAACACCAAAUAUUGUUAUUUUAAAUGCAUACUUUGAAUGCACAAUAAUACUGUGUGUAAAAUGAGUUUUACUAGACUUUAUGUUAUUAAAUUCUACGGAUUGAAAAGUACAAUUAUCGAAAUCUACGUGACUGAAUACCAUUUUACUGAAUCUGAAACAAAAAUUCUGUUAUAAAAAACCAAUCUUAAUUUUAUAUACUUCUUUUUAUAUCUACUUACUUGCAAUUCAAAAAUGUUGAAUCUUUAUAUUGACAAUUUUCUAAAGAACCAUUGAAUGUUUUUCCUUGAUGUAUUUCAUCAUGAAAUAGAACUUUAUGAGCUUUAUAUUCUGUAGCACGCAAAAGUUUAAGAUACUCGGGACACCAUACCAUAAGACCAUAUAAUCUGAAAAAAAAAAAAUAAAAUCAGAAUAUUGAAAAAUAAAAAUAAAUGAAAUAUUUAAUAAAAAUACAUACCCAAAUGAUACAGUUGACCAAAUAAUUAUAAGCACUACUGUAACGCGCAAAUGAGGUGAUACAAAUAAUUCUAAAAAGGAAUUCCAGAACUGAAAAUUUAAUAAAAAUUAGAUGUUAAUUAAAUGUAAAAAAUGGUAUAAAUUUUGUAAAUUAUAUUGAAAUAAAAAAAUAUAUAUGUUAUUUAUACCAUCUCAAUGGAAUAAAUUAUAUCAGCCAAAACACUAGUAUGAUUACUAGGAGAUGGAGGUGCUAAUCCACGAGGCCUUUUAGUUGGAAGCUCUAAUUCAGAAAGUUGAUAUUGUGCGCCUGUUGCACCUUUCCGCGUAUUAUUUUUUUUAUAUAUUUUCUAAAAAAAUAUAAUAUCUUAGAUAUAAAAACAAAAAUUUUUUAAAUAUAAAUAUACAUAAUGAAAAAUACCUGAUAAACCAUCAUUGCCUCCACAUCUCUGCCAACUUCUACCAAAUAUCUUGGACUUUCUGGUAGAAAAAUAAGCCCAAUAGUAGAACAUAAUGCAGGUAAACAGCAAAGUAAAAGAAAACGAUGCCAAGCACUGAAAUGUUCUUUAUUUUCAAGAACUACCAUUUCUCCAGUUGUAGGAACUACUACCCAUGCUAAAAGAGCUGCAUAUACACCUCCCAAUGCUCCUGCUGCUACUAAUAGACCAACCCAUCUACUUCUGCUUAAUCUUGGACAACAUUCUGCGAGAUAUGUAAAUGCUAAUGGUAAAGAUCCUCCUACUCUAUAAAAUAAAAUGAAAUAAAAUGUAACUUUUUUUUGAAUGAAAUUUAAAAUUUAUUUAAAUAUAAAUACAAAAAAAAAACAUCUUACCCAAUUGCAGAACAAAAUCUAGCACACAUAAAAGUUCCAUAAGUUGGCAUAAAAGUUGCAACACCACUAAAUAAAGCAUGAACAGCCAUUGCAGAUAAUAAAGAUCUUCGUCUACCAAUUCUAUCUCCCAAACCACCCCAAAAUAAUCCACCUAGUGCAAGGCCCAUUAAAGUAAUAUUACCUAUAAGAAAAAAGCAUAAGAGUAAUUAUUAUAGAAAAAUAUUUUAUACAAAAUAAAAUAAAAACUAACUGA